UGGGGAAUUUUGGACAAUGGGCGAAAGCCUGAUCCAGCAAUGCCGCGUGUGUGAAGAAGGCCUUCGGGUUGUAAAGCACUUUUGUCCGGAAAGAAAUCCUUGGCUCUAAUACAGUCGGGGGAUGACGGUACCGGAAGAAUAAGCACCGGCUAACUACGUGCCAGCAGCCGCGGUAAUACGUAGGGUGCAAGCGUUAAUCGGAAUUACUGGGCGUAAAGCGUGCGCAGGCGGUUUGCUAAGACCGAUGUGAAAUCCCCGGGCUCAACCUGGGAACUGCAUUGGUGACUGGCAGGCUAGAGUAUGGCAGAGGGGGGUAGAAUUCCACGUGUAGCAGUGAAAUGCGUAGAGAUGUGGAGGAAUACCGAUGGCGAAGGCAGCCCCCUGGGCCAAUACUGACGCUCAUGCACGAAAGCGUGGGGAGCAAACAGGAUUAGAUACCCUGGUAGUCCACGCCCUAAACGAUGUCAACUAGUUGUGGGAUUCAUUCUUAGUAACGUAGCUAACGCGUGAAGUUGACCGCCUGGGGAGUACGGUCGCAAGAUU
rnacentral:rRNA from 1 species